rnacentral:rRNA from 1 species
GACGAACGCUGGCGGCGUGCUUAACACAUGCAAGUCGAACGGAAAGGCCCUGAUUUUGUGGGGUGCACGAGUGGCGAGCGGGUGAGUAAAACGUGAGUAAAAUGCACUUGUCUUUGGGAUAACUUCAGGAAAAUGGGGCUAAUACCGGAUAGGAGCUCCUGAUGCGUGGUGGGGAUUGGAAAGUUUCGGCGGUUGGGGCUGGACUAGCGGCUUAUCCGCUUGUUGGUGGGGUAGGGGAUGACAAAGGUUAUGACGGGUAGCCGGCCUGGGAGCGUGACCGGCCACAUGGGGACUGCGAUACGGACCAGACUCCUACGGUAGGCAGCAGUGGGGAAUAUUGCACAAUGGGCGGAAGCCUGAUGCAGCAACGCCGCGUGCGGGAUGACGGCCUUCGGGUGAUAAACCGCUUUCGCCGGUGACGAAGCGUGAGUGACGGUAAUGGGUAAAGAAGCACCGGCUAACUACGUG